rnacentral:sRNA from 1 species
CUGUGCAGAAAGAACAUGAGGCCUCUUUGAGUGAUGUUAUAGAAUUACAAUGGCAUCUUGAAGAUAAAGCUAAUCAACUACAACAUUUUGAAAAACAAAAGACAGAGUUAGAAGAAGCAAAUGCAAAGAUUCAAGCAGACAUAGACUACAUGAAUGAACAUGGCCCUCUACUGGACUCUAAGCAGAAUCAGGAACUUCAAGAUCUGAAGAACCAUUAUAAAAAAAAAAUGGAGGUAAUGGACCUACACAGAAAAGUUAAUGAAGAACUUGAAGAAGCUUUAGAAGCCUGUGAAAAUGCCAGAUUGAAGGCUCAGCAAAUUAAAGAAGAGAUUGAUAAGGAUAUUUACCAGGAUGAAAAAACCAUAGAGGCCUACAAGUAAGAAUUUUUUGCAAACACUAAUUAUAGCAUUUAGAAAUUAAAUGUUAAGUAAAAAUGUAAUGUAUAUUUCUAUAUAGAAAAUUUAGAUAAAGAGAAAAAUAAAAUUUUAAAUUAUUCAUACCUGUCUUAUCACCAAGUUUAUAUGUAAAUAAAAAGAUAUAUAUUUCAUAUAUGUAAAAUUAUUUGUGCAUAAAUCUCUAAAGUACUAUAUUUCUGUGUCAUCUUAAAGCUCUUCAUAUAUAUUGCAAAAUUGCCUGAGGACAUGUUAUAACAAUAAAUAUCCCUACUAUGUGUGCAAAAGUAACUAUUUUAAAAAAAUCCAGCAUGCGAUAUGAUU